UGUGAACUCGAAGAGUAGGGCGGGACACGUGGUAUCCUGUCUGAAUAUGGGGGGACCAUCCUCCAAGGCUAAAUACUCCUGACUGACCGAUAGUGAACCAGUACCGUGAGGGAAAGGCGAAAAGAACCCCGGCGAGGGGAGUGAAAAAGAACCUGAAACCGUGUACGUACAAGCAGUGGGAGCACCUUCGGGUGUGACUGCGUACCUUUUGUAUAAUGGGUCAGCGACUUAUAUUCUGUAGCAAGGUUAACCGUAUAGGGGAGCCGCAGGGAAACCGAGUCUUAACUGGGCGUUAAGUUGCAGGGUAUAGACCCGAAACCCGGUGAUCUAGCCAUGGGCAGGUUGAAGGUUGGGUAACACUAACUGGAGGACCGAACCGACUAAUGUUGAAAAAUUAGCGGAUGACUUGUGGCUGGGGGUGAAAGGCCAAUCAAACCGGGAGAUAGCUGGUUCUCCCCGAAAGCUAUUUAGGUAGCGCCUCGUGAACUCAUCUUCGGGGGUAGAGCACUGUUUCGGCUAGGGGGUCAUCCCGACUUACCAACCCGAUGCAAACUACGAAUACCGAAGAAUGUUAUCACGGGAGACACACGGCGGGUGCUAACGUCCGUCGUGAAGAGGGAAACAACCCAGACCGCCAGCUAAGGUCCCAAAGUCAUGGUUAAGUGGGAAACGAUGUGGGAAGGCACAGACAGCCAGGAUGUUGGCUUAGAAGCAGCCAUCAUUUAAAGAAAGCGUAAUAGCUCACUGGUCGAGUCGGCCUGCGCGGAAGAUGUAACGGGGCUAAACCAUGCACCGAAGCUGCGGCAGCGACACUAUGUGUUGUUGGGUAGGGGAGCGUUCUGUAAGCCUGCGAAGGUGUGCUGUGAGGCAUGCUGGAGGUAUCAGAAGUGCGAAUGCUGACAUAAGUAACGAUAAAGCGGGUGAAAAGCCCGCUCGCCGGAAGACCAAGGGUUCCUGUCCAACGUUAAUCGGGGCAGGGUGAGUCGACCCCUAAGGCGAGGCCGAAAGGCGUAGUCGAUGGGAAACAGGUUAAUAUUCCUGUACUUGGUGUUACUGCGAAGGGGGGACGGAGAAGGCUAUGUUAGCCGGGCGACGGUUGUCCCGGUUUAAGCAUGUAGGCUGGUUGUCCAGGCAAAUCCGGAUAAUCAAGGCUGAGGUGUGAUGACGAGGCACUACGGUGCUGAAGUAACAAAUGCCCUGCUUCCAGGAAAAGCCUCUAAGCAUCAGGUAACAUUAAAUCGUACCCCAAACCG
rnacentral:rRNA from 1 species